GAUGGUGUGUAGUGGUAGUGUGUGGUGAUGGUGUGUAGUGGUAGUGUGUGGUGAUGGUGAUGGUGUGUAGUGGUAGUGUGUGGUGAUGGUGUGUAGUGGUAGUGUGUGGUGAUGGUGUGUAGUGGUAGUGUGUGGUGAUGUUGAUGGUGUGUAGUGGUAGUGUGUGGUGAUGGUGUGUAGUGGUAGUGUGUGGUGAUGGUGUGUAGUGGUAGUGUGUGGUGAUGGUGUGUAGUGGUAGUGUGUGUGUGAUGGUGUUGUGUAGUGGUAGUGUGUGGUGAUGGUGUGUAGUGGUAGUGUGUGGUGAUGGUGUGUAGUGGUAGUGUGUGGUGAUGGUGUGUAGUGGUAGUGUGUGGUGAUGGUGUGU
ensembl:lncRNA